GGAGUAAUGGAGAACUCCAAGGGCAGGAGGUAACCAUUAAAGAGGACCAUCAUGUAGUGUGAGGAGUCAACAUUUCACACUAGAAAGCCCUUGGUUCAAGUUUUGUCUCUGCCACCUACAGAUUUUGUAACCCUGAGAGAAAAGGAAAAUCCUACGGAGGAGGGGCUCUGAUGGCUUUGAAGAAGGCAGUGAAUGGCCACAUGUUCCCUGAGGACAGCACAGGCUAAAGGCUCAGCUAGAAGAAAGGCACAGAGAUAGCAAGUGAUGCUGCCUGGAGUUAAAGGAGGCCAGGAGCACCAGAAGCUGGAGGAGGCCGGGGUGGAUUCUCGCCUGGAGGCUUCAGUGGGAGCACGAGCUCCCGACACUUCGGUUCCAUCUCUUGUUUAAAGGCACCCAGUUUCUCAUCAUUUGUUACAGCACCAUGGAAAACCCACACACAAGUGAAGCCCCGACCCACCUCCCAAGUGCCCAUCUGAGCACCCCUCGUGGACUCUGAGCAGGGGGUUGCCAUCACCAACUCCAAGUCUUGCAGCCCCUCUUCCCUUCAGUCUGGCUGCCACCUUCUUCAUUGCCCUGGAAAAAAAUAAUGAAGUUUCACCAUUUAAAGGGUUUCAGUGCAGCUUGCUAUGGGAACACUGGAGAGUAACACAAAUGGCCAAUUGUCCUAAUAGCCACCAUGGAUUGGAUGGAUGCUAACAACAGGCUCACAGUUCUCCUUCUGUUGCCUCCUUUUAUCCACAUGAGAAUCAAACAAGACUACUGAUUAAAUGAAGCCUUUGAUGAAGUGCAUGCAGUUUGUAGCUUGAUUCAUGGGAAUACUCAUCACAGACUGAAAGUGUAACCCAGGGUCUCUGGGUUUUUGGGAACGCGCUGUGUAAAAGUAUCUACUUGUAACUGUUACUCCCUGAGUUGUUGUUGUUUUAGAAAGUUCCAAGAAGAAGCUUAGCCUUGGAAAAAACAAAAACUGGUUGAAUCCAGAAGUGGAGAUGAAUUUUGGCCAACGCUCCUCACUGCCACACUAAAAACCCUGCUCAGAGAGGAGCUUAUUCACCAUGUUCUAUUCAUGCAAUGUGUGUGGAAACAUGAUCUACGACAGCAUGCGUGCUGCCUUCACCCUACCUCUACAUACAAUGACUCAUUUAACCUGCUGAAUAAAAGCCCUGUUUUCACCUUU
ensembl:lncRNA LINC01229 long intergenic non-protein coding RNA 1229